GGUAAAUAUGGCUUAUUAAAAUAAAUGCUCAAGGUUGCAGCGUGACAGGAACACCAGAAUGAAAGCUAGCCCUAAAGUCUCAAGGGACCACAUAACCAAAGACUGUCUAUAGCAUCUCUAUCUAUUCCCAUAGCAUCAAAUUGUUUUGCAUCGUCUGCGAAACAUCUAAAUUUGGGGUAUACAAUAGAUAAAGCGGCGCAGAUUACGACACCGAUGGUUCUGGCUCUUUCCUCGUCCUCCCCUUGUUUACAACCUUUGUAGCCAGCACGGUAUUAGGCUCCUUUGUGUACAUGAUACAGUCGUCGAGAGUGUAGAUCCUGAGAGCGAGCACGGAUACAGUUGAGGUCUUCAUGGCUACUGUGAAGAAGGACCAGUACCACCAAUCAUUCUUCAGGAACUCGGAUUUUAUCAUAUUCUCCAACACACUGGUCGCCAGUACCAUCUGGAAGAGGCAUAGAAUAGAUACGAUUAAUCAGUGGAAUGAAUAAUAACAGCGCUCUCAAGCAUUCAGUUUGUAUGAAGACGAUAUUAGAGAGUUCUUCUGCGCAAAAAAAAAGAUAUUAGAGAGUUCUUAAUGGACUAGAUAAUCAACAGAAAAAUACUGUAAUAAACACUGCUGUGCUAGAUAGAUAUAUAUUUUCUGUGGCACGUACGAAUGUGAAUAAAUAUAAUAGCAUGCUUCACAAAAGCACGCCAUGAACGCCUUCUCAUUUGUUGAGACUUCACAAAAGCUUCCUCAGGCAACGCUGCAUCUAUAUCAAGCAAAUUUAUCUUUUGCUGAUUUUAGGAUAUGAGAGUUUCUACCUAUAACAGACCUACUACUUGUUGGACAAUUUUGACCAAAAUUUGACCGCUCCUGCCCAUCCAGUCCUCGAUCACCGCUACCGGAGGCCGCCGAACCCGCACGCCAGGGCGGCUGGGCAGCGGUGGUGGCGGAGGCUGGCGCAUAAGCAGAUCCAAGACGUGGACGCAGGAUUCGUGAAACCCACAUUCGCAGGCGUAGCAAAUAAUGGUGGCCCUCGACAGCUCGGGGAGGGCGCAAGACACACAUGGGUUCUUCCCCCAUCCCACUACUCCCGGGUGCUGUAUUGACGGGGGCACCUCCACCGACGAACCAUGUUAGAGAGCGACGGGGGCCACCAUUAUUUGCGACGGGUGCAAUUNNNNNNNNNNNNNNNNNNNNNNNNNNNNNNNNNNNNNNNNNNNNNNNNNNNNNNNNNNNNNNNNNNNNNNNNNNNNNNNNNNNNNNNNNNNNNNNNNNNNNNNNNNNNNNNNNNNNNNNNNNNNNNNNNNNNNNNNNNNNNNNNNNNNNNNNNNNNNNNNNNNNNNNNNNNNNNNNNNNNNNNNNNNNNNNNNNNNNNNNNNNNNNNNNNNNNNNNNNNNNNNNNNNGAAGUGGGGCUAUAAGGGGAGGGAUUCCUCCGGGGAGAAGCAAUGGAGAAGAAACUGACGGGGCGGACGGAACACGUGGAGGAGGAGCCAGGGACGCUUAGGUGGAGAUGGGCUGUCAGUGAGUGGUGCGGUGACGCGAGCUCUUUCGCCGCGGAGCAGGGCGCGGUGCUCUACCGUCAGUUGGUGUUGCUUGCGUCUACCGUCGGUUCUACACAGAGACAAAACACGUUCAGUGUAAUACUGGUAACAUAUGCAAAAGCAGCUUUCAAUUAAUGUGUGCUUUGCUGUAAUACAAGAUAUACACCGAAAUCAUUCAUUAAUUUCUACAUUAAUUGGCAUCCAUCUUAUAGUAUAUAGAAAAAUAUUGUAUUAAUUCUAUGCUUUGAUAGAAUACAAGAGGGAUAUUGAAAUUGUUCAUUAAUGUCUUCUUACUAUACGAAAUAUAUAGAAAUCAUUUAUUAACAUAUAUGUAUCUUGGAAAAUCUUGUAUUAAUUGUGUGCUUUGCUGGAAUACGAGAAAUAUAUUGAAAAUUCGUCAUUAAUGUCUUCUUAUUAGAAAUUUAUAUAAUGCGUUUAUUAAAAUCUAUCUUAUUUAAAAAACAAAUGUAUUUUUUAUUAAUUUUUGAUUUUCUAGAAUAAAAGAAAUAUACUGAAAAUCAUUCAUUAAUAUCUUCUUAUAAGAAAUAUAUGGAAAUGAUUUAUUAGUAUCUAUCUUAUAUAGAGAAAAUGUUUUGUCAAUAAUCAUUUAUUAAUAUCGAUAAUCUUAUAUGAUAACAUUUAUAAAUAUCUAUUUACAUAUAAGAAGAUGCUAUAUCAAUUUAUUUUUGUUAUAAACAUGUUAUUGUCAUUGUGUCUAAUAGUUUCUUAAUUUUUGACGAUCAGAUUUUAAUAGUUACUGGUAAAUAAAUAUCUAAAAGGAAUACAAGAACAACAUAAUCAUUUUACUAUGGAGGUUUCUCUAAAUAAACAAUGUAAACACUUCAAUUUGAUCACAUUUGCAUGUUUAAUAAACUUCAGAAUAACUAUUCCUAUAACUGUUUUUUUUAUUCACGACUCUAGUUAGAGCACAUCUAAAUUGAAAAUAUCUAAUCAGAACCAAAUAUAGAGGAAGAAUGUAUCUUAAAUAUAACACAAAUAUUUUCUUUUACAAAUAAAUUCUUGAGGAUGAGGAUUGAUGUCAUGGUACACUAGGUGUGCCUGGCCAAACGGGCCAGCCCGGCAUGGCCCGGCCCAUCGUAAUCAUGCCUGGCCCGGCACGGCCUGCUAGGGCACGAUUACUAUUCGGUUCGUACCGUGCCGGCCCGCGUGCUGCACCCCAGUCCCAGGCACGGGCCGGCAUGUUGGCCCGUUUAGCACGGUGGGCCGCAUAUUUUCAGCCUGUUAUUUGACGCAUUGAGCGUUUUUUAGCCUAUUUAUACAUGUUGGACCAUAUAUAGAUGUAUAAAAAAAUUUAAAAAACGCAAUCAGGUCGUGCCGUGCCGUGCCGGCCCGCAUGCCCAGCCUCCAGGCCCAGGCAUGGCCCAGGGCAUGCCGCAUGCCGGGCCUAGCCCGUUUAGCCCAUGCCGUGCCUGGCCCAAGGCGGGCCGUGCCGGCGUGCUCACGGGCCGGCCUGAAAAAACCGAUGAAUAAACUUGUUCUUGUAACUAGCGCAGUUUAGUAGUGUUCUAAUAAACUUAUGUUAGUAGUACCAAAAUAGUAAAUAUAAAAAAUAUCAACUACAUACAUGUCUUCAAAUGAUGAACACAUUUUGAUGUGAUCAAAUUUGUAGUUCUAAUGAUUUUCUCAAGUAAUGAUUGAUACAAUUGUGUCUUUCUAUUUGCGACAUGAAUUAGAGUGUAUCAAAGCUAUAAAUAAGAAAUAUAUUAUGGCGUGGAGAUUUCCUGAAAACAAUUUUGUGAAAAUAAGGAUUGAUGUCAACUUACUUUGGUAUUGUACAUUUUGGCAUUCGUUGGGUUUGUUUAUUGGUUUACACAACACCAAAAGAGGUUCAGUGCACAUGUAAUCGUAGUUGUGAAUAUUUUACUUGUGGAUUUCACUAAGCAUACCCAUUUUUUGUUCAUAAAUGAGAACUGAAUAUAUAAGGUACUUUUAAGGGAUUUUCAUAUUCCUGCCCUUAGCUGGUGCUCACCAACGAUUUUUGCCCCUACUUUCAACGGGUGCACAGUUUGCUCCUAAACAACAUGACAUAUUGGGUCACAGUGAAACAUCUUUGCCAAGAUGGAAAUUAAACUUAAGGGUCAUUUAUAUAACCAAAUACAAUUGUUUAGGGGUAAGACUGAGCAUAGUUCAAAAUAUAAACCAUUCAAAUUUGUAAACUACCGGCACUAAUAGAAAGUUUGUAAUUUUUUGUACUUAAAGCAAAAAUAUUCACAAAUAAACUCUAAAUACAGCAAAAAACAACUCAAAAAUAAAUAAAACAAAAAUAAAUAAAGCAAAAAAAUAAGAAAAUAAAAAAGCCCGCCUACUGCACCACAGCGGCCUGCAUACGACUAGAAACCCAACAUGUUGUUGGGCCAGGAUGCAGGCCCGCAAAGAUCGAGUAGGCCCAUAGGAUAGCACAGGACAUUUAGGCCCAGUAGGCCUGCUUUGGAGAGGAGCUCGAGAGAGCUACCACACUGGGGCUUAUAAACCAGUGCGGACGCCCCUCGGCUAGCGAGGUGGGACUAAACAUGACGCACCGCACCCGCGUCAGCGCACCCUCUUUAGUACCGGGUGGUGGCUCAAACCGGUACUAAAGGGCAGGUCUUUAGUACCGGUUGUAGCCACCACCCGAUACUAAAGGGGGUGCGCUUCCCGCCGCUUCGCCUGGCCAAAACAGACCUUUAGUACCGGUUGGUGGCUCCAACCGGUACUAAAGGUGGGUUCUAUAUAAGAAAACACUUCAAAAAAAUGAGUUUCUCAUCUCUCCCUCUGCUUCUUUCUUCUCUGCCCCAUCGCCGCCGCCCCUCGUCGCCGCCCCCGUCGCCGUCCCUGUCGCCGUCCCCGUCGCCGUCCUUUGCCGUCCCCGUCCCCGUCCCCGUCGUCCCCGUCGCCGCGCCCCGCCCCGUCGCCGCGCCCCGCCCCGUCCUCNNNNNNNNNNNNNNNNNNNNNNNNNNNNNNNNNNNNNNNNNNNNNNNNNNNNNNNNNNNNNNNNNNNNNNNNNNNNNNNNNNNNNNNNNNNNNNNNNNNNNNNNNNNNNNNNNNNNNNNNNNNNNNNNNNNNNNNNNNNNNNNNNNNNNNNNNNNNNNNNNNNNNNNNNNNNNNNNNNNNNNNNNNNNNNNNNNNNNNNNNNNNNNNNNNNNNNNNNNNNNNNNNNNNNNNNNNNNNNNNNNNNNNNNNNNNNNNNNNNNNNNNNNNNNNNNNNNNNNNNNNNNNNNNNNNNNNNNNNNNNNNNNNNNNNNNNNNNNNNNNNNNNNNNNNNNNNNNNNNNNNNNNNNNNNNNNNNNNNNNNNNNNNNNNNNNNNNNNNNNNNNNNNNNNNNNNNNNNNNNNNNNNNNNNNNNNNNNNNNNNNNNNNNNNNNNNNNNNNNNNNNNNNNNNNNNNNNNNNNNNNNNNNNNNNNNNNNNNNNNNNNNNNNNNNNNNNNNNNNNCCCGGCCCAUCCCCGUCCCCGUCGUUGCCGCCCCAUCCCCAUCCCCGUCGUCACCGCCCGUCUCUGUCCCCGUCGCCGCCCCCCGUCACCGCGCCUCGCCGGUGAGCUCCUGCCCCGGCCGCCAUGUCCACACACACACACACAUUGUUAUAGAAAUGUUAGCAAUUUUUCUGUUUUUUAGUUAUAGAAAUAUUAGAAAUGUUAUAAAUUUUUCUGGUUUUUAGUUAUAGAAAUGUUAGUUUUAGAUAUGGUCAAUGUUUUUUAGUUUAUUAUAUUUUUAGUUAUAAAAUUUAGAUUUGCAUAUAUGAAAUCACAAUCCAUCAUUUAAAAAAUGUUACUUUACUUUUGCGGCAUAUAGCAUUUGUUGUCGACGAUGCCCGGCCCGCAUCCUUGCCGUCGACCAGUUCGCGACGACGUCCUGCUUCAGAGGACCCAUGUCCGGGACUGGGCUCCGGCGGGCUGGCACUAGGAGGUGCUACCUUCAGGGGCGCGACGCUUGGUGAGGAACCCGGCCCCGGGUCCCGUCGUCGACCCUCAUCUCCUUUGGUGGCGUUCGCGUGGGCCACUUUCGGUGCGGAGGGAGCCGGCCCCGCCGGAGGUGGUACGUCACCGUGUCAGGGAGGAGGACGAGCACGUCCAUCGCUACAUGGCUGCUAUGGAUGUCAGGUUCUCCAAUACCUGGCAGGUUCUUUCGGUAGAUCACCCGAGCUAUGAUCCAGUGAUGGUUCCUUCACUUUGGUUGUCCACUGCCCAAGCUUCAGGAACCGCGAGUGGCCUAGAUUACUCUCUAGUAUUCGAUCUUUAUUAGCUAGCUAGCUAGCUAGUGAUGUAUUCGAUAUGAUUUAUUCGAGAUUAUAUAUAUUAUUCGAGACGAUGUAUUCGAGAUUAUAUCUAUUAUUCGAGACGACGUAUUCGAGAUUAUAUUCGAUGAUGCUUAUUAUGUACUAUGAUUGAUUCAGCUUUUCCUUAUUAAUUGAUUGCAUCCAUGCAUUGUAAUUUGAAUAUAUUUCUUUUGGACUAGUUAAAUAAAAGCUAUGGCGGACAAUAACGGCAGAGAGGGAGAAGAUGCCCUGUUCAAUAUCAUACACAAUCCUCGCGGGCCAGAUGAUGAUCAGAAUGAAGAAGAUUAUGACAGCUCCGAAUAUCUAAACAACACCGGGGAGGGUGAUAUGAUAUUCGAUCGCGACGACCGAAUUGAUGAAGUCAUGAACUAUGAACAUGACGAAGAAAAUGUUGAUCUUGAAACAACAAAGACCGGCGAGGUAUAUUUAUAUAAGCAGGCAUCUGGUGAUCAUCACAUGUGUUAAAUGACUUGAAGAUAUAUUAACGAAUCGAUCUUUCUUCUUUCAGCCAUCCAGAUCGAGCAAAUCUUCAAGCAGCAGGACAGUACGAGGCCCGAAAAAAAAGUUGAAGGAGGGCGUAAAGUACAAUAUCGAGGCCAUCAAACCUAAUGGCGAACCAUUAGCGCCUAAGAAGAUUACGGACAAGUUCAUUCAUCAGUGCGGAGUUCUUGUGAAGGACCAACUCCCGAUCUCCCUUCAAGAAUGGAGAGAGCCAGCAAAGCCACGUCCAGAUCUUACUUUUGUCGAUGACAGACAAAAAGUUCUGCUUUGGGAAACUCUCAUGGAACAUUUCACCCUACCAGAUCAUUUCACCUUUCUCACCUUGAGAGUUGGUGCAAACUUCGCCGGUGCAUCCAAACCCCGUGAUAUGAUACGCUCUAUCACAUAUAAGCCUCCUUAUAUCUUCCUCAAAACAGCCACCAUACCUACCUAUUACGGCAUUUCCAUAGCCAUUCCGAGAUAUAUUUCCAUGCAACUUUCCACCAUUCCAUUUAUUAUGACACACAUCAUCAUUGUCAUAUUGCUUUGCAUGAUCAUGUAGUUGACAUCGUAUUUGUGGCAAAGCUACCAUGCUUAAUUUUUCAUACAUGUCACUCUUGAUUCAUCCCAAUCCCGGUACACCGCCAGUAGCAUUCACAUAGAGUCAUAUUUUGUUCUAAGUAUUGAGUUGUAAGUAAAUAAAAGUGUGAUGAUCAUCAUUGUUAGAGCAUUGUUCCAUGUGAGGAAAGGAUGAUGGAGACUAUGAUUCCCCCACAAGUCGGGAUGAGACUCCGGACGAAAAAAAUAAAAAAUAAAAAAAUAAAAUAAGAGGCCAUAAAAAAAGAGAAGAAGGCCCAAACAAAAAAAAGAGAAGAGAGAAGGGACAAUGUUACUAUCCUUUUUCCACACUUGUGCUUCAAAGUAGCACCAUGAUCUUCGUGAUAGAGAGUCUCUUAUUUUGUCACUUUCAUAUACUAGUGGGAAUUUUUCAUUAUAGAACUUGGCUUGUAUAUUCCAAUGAUGGGCUUCCUCAAAUGCCCUAGGUCUUCGUGAGCAAGCAAGUUGGAUGCACACCCACUUAGUUUCUUUGAUGAGCUUUCAUAUAUUUACAGCUCUAGUGCAUCCGUUGCAUGGCAAUCCCUACUCCUUGCAUUCACAUCAAUCGGUGGGCAUCUCCAUAGCCCAUUGAUUAGCCGUGUGAAUGUGAGACUUUCUCCCUUUUGUCUUCUCACACAACCUUUAUCAUCAUAUUCUAUUCCACCCAUAGUGCUAUGUCCAUGGCUCGCACUCAUAUAUUGCAUAAAAGUUGAAAUAAUUUGAAAAAGGCUAAGUAUAAAACAAUUGUUUGGCUUGUCAUCGGGGUUGUGCAUGAUGAGAGCAUUUUGUGUGAUGAAAAUGAAGCAUGGCCAAACUAUAUGAUUUUGUAGGGAUACAUUUUCUUUGGCUAUGUUAUUUUGAUAAGACAUAAUUGCUUGAUUAGCAUACUUGGAGUAUUACUAUUUUUAUGUCAACAAUAAACUUUUAUCUUGAAUCUUUCGGAUCUGAACAUUCAUGCCACAAUAGAGAAAAAUACAUUGAAGAACAUGCUAGAAAGCAUUCCACAUCAAAAAUUCUGUUUUUAUCAUUUACCUACUCAAGGACGAGCAGGAAUUAAGUUUGGGGAUGCUUGAUAUGUCUCCAACGUAUCUAUAAUAUUUUAUUGUUCCAUGCUAUUAUAUUAUCAACCUUGGAUGUUUUAUAUGCAUUUAUAUGCUAUUUUAUAUGAUUUUUGGGACUAACCUAUUAACCUAGAGCCAAGUGCCAGUUUCUGUUUUUUCCUUGUUUUUGAGUUUUACAGAAAAGGAAUACCUAACGGAGUCCAAUUGACGUGCCAAUUUUUGACGAUUUUUUAUGGACCAAAAGAAGACCCCGGAGUAAAAGAGUUGGGCCAGAAGAGUCCCGGGCCGUCCACGAGGGUGGGGCGCACCCCCCCCUCCCCCCCCCUCCCGAGCGCGUGGGCCUGCCUUGUGGACGACUCGGGCAUCUUCUUGACGUGAGACUGACGCCAAAAAUUCCUAUAAAUACAGAAACCUCUAGAAAAUAACCUAGAUCGGGAGUUCCGCCGCCAGAAGCCUCCGUAGCCACCGAAAACCAAUCUAGACCCGUUCCGGCACCCUGCCGAAGGGGGGAAUCCCUCUCCGAUGGCCAUCUUCAUCAUCCCGGCGCUCUCCAUGACGAGGGAGUAGUUCACCCUCAGGGAUGAGGGUAUGUAUCAGUAGCUAUGUGUUUGAUCUCUCUCUGUCAUGUUCUUGAGUCGGCACGAUCUUGAUGUAUCACGAGCUUUGCUAUUAUAUUUGGAUCUUAUGAUGUUUCUCCCCCUCUACUCUCUUGUGAUGAAUUGAAUUUUCCCUUUUAAGUUAUCUUGUCGGAUUGAGUCUUCAAGGAUUUGAGAACACUUGAUGUAUGUCUUGCAUGUGCUUAUCUGUGGUGACAAUGGGAUAUCACGUGAUCCACUUGAUGUAUGUUUUGGUGAUCAACUUGCGAGUUCCGUGACCUCGUGAACUUAUGCAUAGGGGUUGGCACACGUUUUCGUCUUGACUCUCCGGUAGAAACUAUGGGGCACUCUUUGAAGUUCUUUGUGUUGGUUGAAUAGAUGAAUCUGAGAUUGUGUGAUGCAUGUCGUAUAAUCAUACCCACGGAUACUUGAGGUGACAUUGGAGUAUCUAGGUGACAUUAGGGUUUUGGUUCAUUUGCACCUUAAGGUGUUAUUUUACUACGAACAAUAGGGCUGUUUGCGACACUUCUAGGAAUAGCCCAACGAUUGAUCGGAAAGAAUAACUUUGAGGUGGUUUCGUACCCUAAAAUAAUCUCUUCAUUUGUUCUCCUCUAUUAGUGACUUUGGAGUGACUCUUUGUUGCAUGUUGAGGGAUAGUUAUAUGAUCCAAUUAUGUUAUUAUUGUUGAGAGAACUUGCACUAGUGAAAGUAUGAAACCUAGGCCUUGUUUCCUAGCAUUGCAAUACCGUUUUUGCUCACUUUUACCACUUGCUACCUUGCUAUUUUUAUAUUUUCAUAUUACAAAAACCAUUAUCUACUAUCCAUAUUGCACUUGUACCACCAUCUCUUCGCCGAACUAGUGCACCUAUACAAUUUACCAUUGUAUUGGGUGUGUUGGGGACACAAGAGACUCUUUGUUAUUUGGUUGCAGGGUUGCUUAAGAGAGACCAUCUUCAUACUACGCCUCCCACGGAUUGAUAAGCCUUAGGUCACCCACUUGAGGGAAAUUUGCUACUGUCCUACAAACGUCUGCACUUGUAGGCCCAACAACGUCUAUAAGAAGAAGGUUGUGUAGUAGACAUCAACCUGCGCGGAUCACAUCACCAUCAUCGUCACCAUGUAGUCGUGCAGUUGGAACUCUCCCUCGACCCUCUACUGGAUCAGGAGAUCGAGGGACCUCAUCGAGCUGAACGUGUGCUAAACACGAAGGUGUUGUACGUUUGGUACUUGGAUCAGUUGGAUCAUGAAGACGUUCGACUACAUCAACCGCGUUAACCUAAAGCUUCCGCUUUCGGGCUACGAGGGUACAUGGACACACUCUCCCCGUCUCAUUGCUAUGCAUCUCCUAGAUAGAUCUUGCAUGAUCAUAGGAAUUUUUUUGAAAUUGCAUGCUACGUUCCCCAACAGUGGCAUCUGAGCUAGGUCUAUGCGUAGAUGAUAUGCACGAGUAGAACACAAAGAGUUGUGGGCGAUAAUGGGCAUACUGCUUACCACCAACGUCUUACUUUGAUUCGGCGGUAUUGUUGGAUGAAGCGGCCCGGACCGACAUUACAUGGCCGCGUUCAUGAGAUUGGUUCUAUCGACGUGCUUUGCACACAGGUGGCUGGUGGGUGUCUGUUUCUCCAACUUUAGUUGAAUCGAGUUUGAUUAUGGCCGGUCCUAGUUGAAGGUUAAAACAACACACUUGGCGAAAAAUCGUUGUGGUUUUGAUGCGUAGGUAAGAACGGUUCUUGCUAGAAGCCCAUAGCAGCCACGUAAAACUUGCAACAACAAAGUAGAGGACGUCUAACUUGUUUUUGCAGGGCAUGUUGUGAUGUGAUAUGGUCAAGACGUGAUGAGAUAUAAAUUAUUAUAUGAGAUGAUCAUGUUUUGUAGAAGUUAUCGGCAACUGGCAGGAGCCUUAUGGUUGUCACUUUAUUGUAUGAAAUGCAAUCGCCAUGUAAUUGCUUCACUUUAUCACUAAGCGGUAGCAAUAGUCGGUGAAGCAAUAGUUGACGAGCGACAACGAUGCUAUGAUGGAGAUCAAGGUGUCAAGCCAGUUACAAUGGGGAUCAUGACGGUGCUUUGGAGAUGGAGACCAAAGGCACAAGAUGAUGAUGGCCAUAUCAUGUCAUAUAUUUUGAUUGCAUGUGAUAUUUAUCUUUUAUGCAUCUUGUUUUGCUUAGUACGGUUGUAGCAUUAUAAGAUGUUCCCUUACUAAAUUUCAAGGUACAAGUGUUCUCCCUGAGUAUGCACCGUUGCUGUAGUUCCCUGUGCCAAGACACCACGUGAUAUGAUCGGCUGUGAUAAGCUCUACGUUCACAUACAACGGGUGCAAGGCAGUUUUGCACGUGCAGAAUACUCGGGUUAAACUUGACGAGCCUACCAUAUGCAUAUAUGGCCUCGGAACACUGAGACCGGAAACUUGAUACAUGUGUGGAUACAUAGACAAAACACAGUGUCCCUAGUAAGCCUCUACUAGACUAGCUCGUUAAUCAGAGAUGGUUAAGUUUCCUAACCAUAGACAUGUGUUGUCAUUUGAUGAACGGGAUUACAUCGUUAGGAGAAUGAUGUGAUCGAAAAGACCCAUCUGUUAGCUUAGCAUAUUGAUCGUUUAGUUUUAUUGUUAUUGCUUUCUUCAUGUCAUAUACAUAUUCCUUUGACUAUGAGAUUAUGCAACUCCCAGAUACCGGAGGAAUACCUUGUGUGCUAUCAAACGUCACAAUGUAACUAGGUGAUUAUAAAGAUUCUCUACAGGUAUCUCCGAAGGUGUUUGUUGGGUUGGCAUAGAUCGAGAUCAGGAUUUGUCACUCUGAGUAUCAGAGAGGUAUCUCUGGGCCCUCUCGGUAAUGCACAUCAUAAUAAGCCUUGCAAGCAAUGUGACUAAUGAGUUAGUUGCGGGAUGAUGUAUUACGGAACGAGUAAAGUGACUUGCCGGUAACAAGAUUGAACUAGGUAUGAAGAUACCGACGAUCGAAUCUCGGGCAAGUAACAAACCGGUGACAAAGGGAAUAACGUAUCUAGUCAUUACAGUACGACCGAUAAAUAUCUUCAUAGAAUAUGUGGGAACCAAUAUGAGCAUCCAGGUUCCACUGUUGGUUCUUGACUGGAGAGGUGUCUCAGUCAUGUCUACAUAGUUCUCGAACCCGUAGGGUCCGCAUGCUUAACAUUCGAUGACAAUUUUUUAUAAUAUAAGUUAUGUGAUUUGGUGACCGAAUGUUGUUCGGAGUCCUAUAUGAGAUCACAGACAUGACAAGGAGUCUCAAAAUGAUCUAGAGGUAAAGAUUCAUAUAUUGGACGAUGAUAUUCGGACACCGGAAGUGUUCCGCAGAUACCGGGUACAUAUCGGGUCACCGAAAGGGGUUCCGAGCAUCCCCCCGACAAUUACAUGGGCCUAAUGGGCCAAGAAGGGGACAGACCAGCCCCUAGGGGGCUGAUGCGCCCCAUGUAGGCAAAAAUAAGGAGGAAGGAAAGAGGGGAAGAGAGAAAGGCAGGGGAGCAAUUCGGCCUCCCCUUCCUUCUCUCCUCCCUCCUCCUUCCUUCCCCCUCCGGAUGAAUAUGGAAGGGGGGAGGCCGGAUUAGGAGGCGCCCAAGUAGGAUUCCUCUUACUUGGGGCACCCCCUUGGCUGCCUCUCAUCCCCUCCAACCUAUAUAUAUGAGGGGUCACCGCUAGAAGACACACCAACAAUUGUUAGCCAUGUGCGGUGCCCCCUCCACCGUUUACUCCUCCGGUCAUAUUAUCGAAGUGCUUAGGCGAAGCCCUGCGCGGAUCACUUCACCAUCACCACGCCGUGAUGCUGAUGAAACUCUCCCUCGGCCUCAGCUGGAUCUAGAGUUCGAGGGACGUCACCGAGCUGAACGUGUGUAGAUCGUGGAGGUGCCGUGCGUUCGGUACUUGAUCGGUUGGACCGUGAAGAUGUUCGACUACAUCAACCGCGUUACUAAACGAUUCCGCUUUCGGUCUACACGGGUAGGUGGCCACACUCUACACGCUCGUUGCUAUGCUUCUCCUAGAUAGAUCUUGUGUGAUCGUAGGCAAAAUUUUGAAAUACUACGUUCCCCAAUAGUGGCAUCCGAGCCAGGUCUAUGCGUAGAUGAUAUGCACGAGUAGAACACAAAGAGUUGUGGGUGGUGAUCAUCAUACUGCUUACAUAUACGUCUCCAAUGUAUCUAUAAUUUUUGAUUGUUCCAUGUUAUUAUAUCAUCUGUUUUGGAUGUUUAAUGGGCUUAAAUAUGCACUUUUAUAUAAUUUUUGGGACUAACAUAUUAACAGAAGGCCCAGUGCAAAUUGCUGUUUUUUUUUGCCUAUUUUAGUGUUUCGCAGAAAAGGAAUAUCAAAGGGAAUCCAAACAGAACGAAACCUUCGCAAGGAUCUUUCUUGGAACAAACGUCAUCCAGGAGACUUGGAGUGGAAGUCAGAGACGCAACGAGGCGGCCACGAGGCAGGAGGGCGUGCCCAGGGGGUAGGCGCGCCCCCACCCUCGUGGGCCCCUCGUAGCUCCACCGACCUACUUCUUUCGCCUAUAUAUACUCUUAUACCCUGAAAUCAUCCAUGGGAGCCAUGAAACCACUUUCCACUGCCGUAACCUUUUGUACCCGUGAGAUCCCAUCUUGGGGCUUUUCCGAUGAUCUGCCAAAGGGGGAUUCGAUCACGGAGGGCUUCUACAUCAACACCAUAGCCUCUCCGAUGAUGUGUGAGUAGUUUACCAUAGACCUUCAGGUCCAUAGUUCUUAGCUAGAUGGCUUCUUCUCUCUCUUUGGUUCUCAAUACAAAGUUCUCCUCGAUGUUCUUGGAGAUCUAUUCGAUGUAAUACUUUUUGCGGUGUGUUUGCCGAGAUCCGAUGAAUUGUGGGUUUAUGAUCAAGAUUAUCUAUGAUCAAUAUUUGGUUCUUCUCUGAAUUCUUAUAUGCUGGAUUUGAUAUCUUUGCAAGUCUCUUCAAAUUAUCGGUUUAGUUUGGCCUACUAGAUUGAUCUUUCUUGCAAUGGGAGAAGUGCUUAGCUUUGGGUUCAAUCUUGCAGUGUCCUUUCCCAGUGACAGCAGGGGCAGCAAGGCACAUAUUGUAUUGUUUCCAUCGAGGAUAAAAAGAUGGGGUUUAUAUCAUAUUGCUUGAGUUUAUCCCUCUACAUCAUGUCAUCUUGCCUAAAACGUUACUCUGUUCUUAUGAACUUAAUACUCUAGAUGCAUGUUGGAUAGCGGUCGAUGUGUGGAGUAAUAGUAGUAGAUGCAGAAUCGUUUCACUCUACUUGACACGGACGUGAUGCCUAUGUUCAUGGUCAUGCCUAGAUAUUCUCAUAACUAUGCACUUUUCUAUCAAUUGCUCGGCAGUAAUUUGUUCACCCACCGUAAUAUAUGCUAUCAUGAGAGAAGCCACUAGUGAAACCUAUGGCCCCCGGGUCUAUUUUACAUCAUAUUAGUUUCCAGUCAGCUUGCCAAUUUCUGUUGCCGUUUAUUUUGCAAUGUUUACUUUCCAAUCUAUACAACAAAAAUACCAAAAAUAUUUAUCUUAUUAUCUCUAUCAGAUCUCACUUUUGCAAGUGGCCGUGAAUGGAUUGACAACCCCUUUAUCGCGUUGGUUGCGUGGUUCUUGAUUGUUUUUGCAGGUACUAGGUGAUUUGUGUGUAGUCUCCUACUGGAUUGAUACCUUGGUUCUCAAAAACUAAGGGAAAUACUUACGCUACAUUGCUGCAUCACCCUUUUCUCUUCAAGGGAAAACCAACGCAUGCUCAAGAGGUAGCACUUACCACCAAUGUCUUAUUUUGAUUCGGCGGUAUUUUUGGAUGAAAUGGCCCAGACCAACCUUACAUGACCAUGUUCAUUAGACCGGUUCCACCGACAUACAUGCAACUAGUUUUGCAUAAAGAUGGCUGGCGGGUGUCUGUUUCUCCAACUUUAGUUGAAUCAAAUUUGACUGCCGCCGGUCCUUUUUGAAGGUUAAAACAGCAAACUUGAUAUAUCACCGUUGUGGUUCUGAUGUGUAGGUAAGAACAGUUCUUACUAGAUGCCCGUAGCAGCCACGUAAAACUUGCAAUGACAAAGUAGAGGACGUAUAACUUGUUUUUGCAUGGCAUGUUGUGAUGUGAUAUGGUCAAGACAUGAUGUGAUAUACGUUAUUGUAUGAGAUGAUCAUAUUUUGUAAAAGUUGUAGGCAACUGGCAGGAGCCUUAUGGUUGUCGCUUUAUUGUAUGAAAUGCAAACGCCAUGUAAUUGCUUUACUUUAUAACUAUGUGUUAGCGAUAGUUGUAGAAGCAAUAGUUGGCAAGACGACAAUGACGCUACAGUGGAGAUCAAGGUGUCAAGCUGGUGACGAUGGAAAUCAUGACGCUGCUUUGGAGAUGGAGAUCAAAGGCACAAGAUGAUGAUGGCCAUAUCAAGUCACAUAUUUUGAUUGCAUGUGAUGUUUAUAUUUUAUGCAUCUUAUUUUUCUUAGUAUCGCGGUAGUAUUAUAAGAUGAUCCCUCACUAAAAUUUCAAGGUAUAAGUGUUCUCCCUGAGUAUGCACCGUUGCAUCAGUUCGGUGUGCUGAGACACCACGUGAUGAUCGGGUGUGAUAAGCUCUACGUUCACAUACAACGGGUGCAUGACAGUUUUGCACAUGCGAAAUACUUGGGUUAAACUUGACGAGCCUAACAUGUACAGACAUGGCCUCGGAACACUUGAGACCGAAAGGUCGAACGUGAAUCAUAUAGUAGAUAUGAUCAACAUAGAGAUGUUCACCAUUGAAGACUACUCCAUCUCACGUGAUGAUCGAACAUGGUUUAGUCGAUUUGGAUCACGUAUCAUUUAGAUGACUUGAGGGAUGUCUAUCUAAGUGGGAGUUCUUAAGUAAUAUGAUUAAUUGAACUUAAUUUAUCAUGAACUUAGUCUUGAUAGUAUUUGCAAAUCAUGUUGUAGGUCAAUAGCUCGCGUUAUAGCUCUCCUAUGUUUUUUGAUAUGUUCCUAGAGAAAACUAAGUUGAAAGAUGAUAGUAGCAAUGAUGCCGACUGGGUCCGUGAUCUGAGGAUUACCCUCAUUCCUGCACAUAAGAAUUAUGUCCUUGAUGCACCGCUAGGUGACAGACCUAUUGCAGGAGUAGAUGCAUACGUUGUGAGCGUUUGGCAAGCUUGAUAUGAUGACUACUUGAUAGUUUAGUGUGCCAUGCUUUACGGCUUAGAACCGGGGCUGCAAAACGUUUUGAACACCACGGAGCAUAUGAGAUGUUCCAAGAGCUGAAAUUGGUAUUUCAGACUCAUGCCCGUGUCGAGAGGUAUGAGACCUCUGACAAGUAAUUUGCCUACAAGAUGGAGGAGAAUGGCUCAGCCAGUGAGCAUGUGCUCAGUAUGUCUGGGUACUACAAUCGCUUGAAUCAAGUGGGAGUUAAUCUUGCAGAUAAGAUAGUGAUUGACAGAGUUCUCUAGUCACUAUCACCAAGCUAGUAGGACUUCGUGAUGAACUAUAAUAUGCAAGGGAUAACGAAAAUGAUUCCCGAGCUCUUCGCGAUGCUGAAAUCAGCAAAGGUAGAAAUCAAGAAAGAGCAUCAAGUGUUGAUGGUUAACAAGACCACUAGUUUUAAGGAAAAGGGCAAGGAAAAGAAAGGGAACUACAAGAAGAAUGCAAGUAAGUUGCCGCUCCCAUGAUAAAGCCCAAAACUAGACCUAAGCCUGAAACUGAGUGCUUCUACUACAAAGGGAAUGGUCACUAGAAGCGGAACUACCGCAAAUACUUGGCGGAUAAGAAGGAUGGCAAAGUGAACAAAGGUAUAUUUGAUAUACAUGUUAUUGAUGUGUACUUUACUAGUGUUCAUAGUAACCCUUGGGUAUUUGAUACCGUUUCAGUUGCGAAGAUUAGUCUCGAAACGACAGCAACGGACGCGCGAGAUAACAGGAGCAGCUGAGCCCGGGCUCCAAAUCGCCGCUCUCAUUUAAAUCUAAUUAUUUCAAUAUGAUAGCGGCGUGAGGACCUCCUGUCCCCUGGUUGAUGUCAUUGACCACUCCCUGGCAAUCCGAUGCCACCACAAUAUUCUAAAUGCCGAGGUCUCCUGCCAGUGCAAGAGACUCCCCGCAAGCGAAAGUUUCCAAGAUCAUCGGAUCCUUAACCCCUUGAAAUGCGGUAGUUUCCAAAAUCACCGGAUCCUUAACCCCUUGAAACAUCACUGCAGAUGACCUACAUUUCCAUGUCUAUUGCAUGCAACCACUCCAUCGGCAUUUUAUUUUUUAACAAAUUUUGUGAAAUUUUUUUUGAACAAAUUUUGUGGCGGAGGGAGCCACCUCUUUUUUUUGAACAUGUCAUGACUCAAGAGUCCUCCAUAGCUUUUCGACCAAAAGAAAUUUCGAAAAAAAACUUUUUCCAUGAAAAAACGCGUUUUUUUUCUUUCACGAGAGUCACGCCGUGCCUAUCGAAAACGGAAAAAAUGCAUUUUCUGUUUUUUGUCUUUUCGCGAGAGUCACGGUUUUGUUUCCGUGAGAGGCACGGUUGUGCUUUCGCGAGAGUCACGGUCGUGCCUCUCAAAAACGGAAAAAAUGCGUUUUCUGUUUUUUUUCCUUUCGCGAGAGUCACGGUUUUGCUUCUGCGAGAGGCACGGUUGUGCUUUCGCGAGAAUCACAGCCGUGCCUCUCAGAAACGAAAAAAACGCGUUUUCUGUUUUUUUUUCUUGCACGAGAGUCACGAUUUUGCUUCCGCGAGAGGCACGGGUGUGCUUUCACGAGAGUCACGGCCGUGCCUCCUCGAAAACGAAAAAACACGUUUUCUCUUUUUUUUUUCCGCGAGAGUCACGGUUUUGCUUCCGCAAGAGGUACGGUUGUGAUUUCGUGAGACGCACGGACGUGUCUCUUUCGGAAAGGAAAAAAACCGUGCUCCCGGUUCGGUUUUUCCGUUCGUUUUUUUGUGAAAAAAAGUUCGUCAAAACCUAUCAACCUGGUAUCUAGGUUUGAAGAUCUCGAUGCGAAAAAUCCAACGGUGAAAACGGUUUGAGAUUUGGACGCACGGUUUAAGAGAUAAAAUAUUUUGAAUAAACGGAUUUACGAAAAAGGGAAAACCCAGGUUGCGACAAGUGGCGCGCUGCAUGUGCGCCACUUGUCGCAACCUAAGGAGUUGGAGCGAAUUGUUUUUUGCUUUUUGUGGUCAAUCCUUUGCUAUGUGGCUCGUACAUUAUUAAACAUGAACGUAUGUAUGUGACCCACAUUUCAGAAUGAUUAAAUAUGUACUCCCUUCGUUUUUAAAUAUAAGUUGUUUUAGACAUUUUAAAUGGAUUACGACAUACGAAUGUAUGUAGACUUAUUUUAGAGUAUAGAUUCACUCAUUUUGCUUCGUAUAUAGUCACUUGUUUGAAUCUCUAAAAAAACUUACAUUUAAGAAUGGAGAGAGUACGUAUGUAUUAGUAUAAAUUAGACCAUGUAUAUAUGUGACCUACAUUUCAUAUUAAUCGGGCAGCCCAUCGAGUAACCCAUGGGCGUAAACCUAUGCCCAUACCCUACCCACAACUAACCGGGUUAUUCCGCGUUCAUGGGUGUACAUAAAGACCCAUACCCUAGCCAUUCGGGUCGGAUGCCAUGGGCAUGCGUACCCAUGGGUCGAAUUGCCGGGUUGACUUAGGAGUACAUAGAUGAACUGAAACAGACACAAUUAGAACUGUUGAAGCCCACCCAAUGUCCCAAUCCCAUCCAGGUCCAGCCCACGCGCACGUAACAGGCCGACAGCCCUCAAGGCCUCGACUGCUCCUUCUCCUGCACCUAUAAAAAAAGCUGCUCUCCUGCAGUCCUGCAGCUGCAGUUUCUCAAAAAAAAAAAAAAUGCUCCCCUGCUGUAUUUCUCAAGAAAGAAAAAACUGCUCUGCAUCUGCAGCCGACGGGGGCGGCGGCGGACGCCAGACGGCACCUGCAGGCUGCCCGCCAAGUGGUGGCGGCAGCGCGGCAAGCAAGCAAGCAGCCUACGCCGGCGGCCGGUCCCAGGACCUCUAGGCGACGGCCGUAUUCCUCCUCUGUCGUCGCCACUUCCAAGUUGCAAGGUAUCCCGUAUUCCCCUUGCAUCCAGCAAUUUUGGUAUGUUCCUAGUGCUCGGUUGGAUCUCAUCCAUCUUAUAUGACUAUGUCCUCUUCUUUGACACCCUAGUAGGUCUAAAAAGAAUUCCGUCUAGUUUGGAUGCUUUGUCAAUUUGGUGGAUGAUGACUAGGGUAGCUGAUGGAUUAGAUCAGUGUAAAUCCAGGAACUACUGCUCAUUUGUGUCUGGUAGAAUAUUGAGUCUGUAAUACAAAAAGAUUAGUCAUAGAUUGGUGGUGGUUGGCCACCUCAAGUUAAUGGGAGAGGAAAGGGGAUGAGUGGUCUUGUCUUUUCCUUGUAUUAUUUGAUAAAAUUCAUAACGAAAAUGUUUGAUGAAAUUCUAGAAGGAAUCUGAUUUUUUUAAACUAUUAUCGAUAUAUUGCCGCAAUGAUACUUUGCUACUGUUAUCGAUAUAUGGUCAUUGAGUCAUUGAUGUUGCUAGCUUACUGCACAUUUGUUGUCCUAUAUAUUAUAUAGGCUUCGUCGGUAUGGGGAACCUAGCUGAGAGCAUCGCAUGUGGCGUGGCGGCGUCGGGUGUCCUCUCGGCCUCCGCCAUCCGCACCACGGUCCACCGUCACCCUGAGCGCUGCGCCGCCUUCGCCUCCCUUGGCGCCACCAUCCUCGCCUCCAACGCCCAGGUCAGUCUAUUCCCCCAUCUGAUUGAGACCCUGCCUCCAUAUGCUCGAAGCAGCGAAGUAUCUCUGUCCAUCACGUGUUUAAGCUUGACAAACACUCCGUUUUUUUCUCUUCUCAUCGUAGGUUGUCGAGGACAGUGAUGUGAUCGUCAUCUCUAUCAAGCCUCAGAUUGGUAAGCGUACUAGGUAGUAUUGUUAGCCCCUGAAGGCAAUCAAUCACUGAUGCAUCUCGCAAACUUUUGUUCUCGAGAUAGUAUUUGCUAGUCCAUGAAAGCAACCACUGAUGCCCCAGAUUUAUAAUAACUCUGGCUUUUGUUUUGCGCGCUUAUGAAUUACCCACAUAUGAAAUUGCAGUGAAGAAGGUUCUGGUUGAGCUCAAGCCCUUGCUGUCUGAAGAAAAGCUUCUGGUGUCCAUUACUGCUGCUAUUAAAAAUGAAAGAUUUACAGAUUGGCCAGUGUAUUCAGGGUUUACUGAACUUCUGAAACUUUAAUUUUGGUAAAAUCACCCUCCAUCAAAAUUGUAUAAGUUGAGCGAUGCACCAUUUUUUUCCAUAAGAAUAAGACCGACAGUUAAGCCGCAGUAUGUCAACAUACAUCACCAUUUCCAUUUUCGUUCUUUCUCUUUUAAUUACAGGAUCAGUUAUCUCAACAACUGAGUGUUGAGCGAUGCACCAUUAUCUCCCCAUAAUAAGAAUAUGCCGACCACUCCCUCGGCCACAUCAUUACUUGGAAAAGGCCUACUAAUGCCGCAUCAGUUUUGUCUACUAAUGGCGCACUACUGGUGAUACUAAUGGCUUAAUCUUGGGUCACUAUGGCUUAAUCUCAAGUCAAUAUGCUUAAUCUCAGGUCAAAUCGCACUCUGUGGUCAAACUUCCCGAAAGGUCACCCAUCCUCACACUACUCCUGCCCAAGCACGCUUAACUUCAGAGCUCUAUCCAACCCCAACACCAGCUCACUUCACAGACACUUGUUGAUAUAUCUAGCAUAUCAAUCCUAUUAAACCUUAUUAAUGUUUAGGACUUUGUUCAUGUUCAUGAGUGUGAUGAAAUUUUGAAAAAAUAUUUCAAACUUCCGUUCAUAUUACGUAUCAUAUUUUGAAAAAAAAUCCUGAAAAAAAUGAAACUAUUUUUUUCUGUUACUAGUGACGCACCUAGCAUACGGUGCGCCACUAGUAAGUUUGAAUUUUUUUAUUUUUUUUCCUUCUAGAUCUUAAAAGCCCCGUAACUUUUUUUCUGUUAAAUUCGGAUGUAACUUUUCGAGUAGAUGAUUUUUCAUAUAGAAACUUUUUAAUCCGAGUUCGUAUGCAAAUGUUAUGCCCAUUUUACAAAUUUCAAAAAUAUUUUACAAAUAAAGUCGAAAUUCAUAUUUGUAAAUUUUCCCAACAACUAGACCACAUAUCACAUGGGAAAGUUAAAACAACAACAACAACAACAAAGCCUUUAGUCCCAAACAAGUUGGGGUAGGCUAGAGGUGAAACCCAUAAGAUCUCGCAACCAACUCAUGGCUCUGGCACAUGGAUAGCAAGCUUCCACGCACCCCUGUCCAUAGCUAACUCUUUGGUGAUACUCCAAUCCUUCAGGUCUCUCUUAACGGACUCCUCCCAUGUCAAAUUCGGUCUACCCCGCCCUCUCUUAACAUUCUUCGCACGCUUUAGCCGUCCGCUAUGCACUGGAGCUUCUGGAGGCCUGCGCUGAAUAUGCCCAAACCAUCUCAGACGAUGUUGGACAAGCUUCUCCUCAAUUGGUGCUACCCCAACUCUAUCUCGUAUAUCAUCAUUCCGGACUCGAUCCUUCCUCGUGUGGCCACACAUCCAUCUCAACAUACGCAUCUCCGCCACACCUAACUGUUGAACAUGUCGCCUUUUAGUCGGCCAACACUCCGCGCCAUACAACAUUGCGGGUCGAACCGCCGUCCUGUAGAAUUUGCCUUUUAGCUUUUGUGGCACUCUCUUGUCACAGAGAAUGCCAGAAGCUUGGCGCCACUUCAUCCAUCCGGCUUUGAUUCGAUGGUUCACAUCUUCAUCAAUACCCUCAUCCUCCUGCAACAUUGACCCCAAAUACCGAAAGGUGUCCUUCCGAGGUACCACCUGUCCAUCAAGGCUAACCUCCUCCUCCUCACAUGGGAAACUUAUUUUCUUUUAUUUUUUUACAUUCUCAUCANNNNNNNNNNNNNNNNNNNNNNNNNNNNNNNNNNNNNNNNNNNNNNNNNNNNNNNNNNNNNNNNNNNNNNNNNNNNNNNNNNNNNNNNNNNNNNNNNNNNNNNNNNNNNNNNNNNNNNNNNNNNNNNNNNNNNNNNNNNNNNNNNNNNNNNNNNNNNNNNNNNNNNNNNNNNNNNNNNNNNNNNNNNNNNNNNNNNNNNNNNNNNNNNNNNNNNNNNNNNNNNNNNNNNNNNNNNNNNNNNNNNNNNNNNNNNNNNNNNNNNNNNNNNNNNNNNNNNNNNNNNNNNNNNNNNNNNNNNNNNNNNNNNNNNNNNNNNNNNNNNNNNNNNNNNNNNNNNNNNNNNNNNNNNNNNNNNNNNNNNNNNNNNNNNNNNNNNNNNNNNNNNNNNNNNNNNNNNNNNNNNNNNNNNNAAAAGGCGAUCCAUGGGGAGGUGGGGAGGGGGGGGGGUGCAUGCGAGGGAAUUUUUGGGCCAAGUUAGUAAUGGCGCACCGUGGGAGUGGUGCGCCAUUACUAGUUUAAUGGCGCACCACUCCCAUGGUGCGCUAUUACUAGUUUUCAAAAAAUAUUAAAAAAAGUUGAAAAAAAUUACUAGUGGCGCACCGUGGAUGUGGUUUAACUAGUAAUGGUGCACUUAAUAACAAGUUUUUUAUAUAUUUUUUCAAAACUACUAAUGGCGCACCAGGGGAUAGUGCGACAUUACUAGUUAAACUUGUAAUGGCGCACCACAUCCACGGUGCGCCAUUAGUAAAUUAUUUUUUUCAAAACUAGUAAUGGCGCACUAUCCCCUGAUGCGCCAUUACUAGUUUUGAAAAAAAAACUGAUUUUUUUUUAAAUUUACUAAUGGCACACCGUUUUUUUUUCAAAACUAGUAAUGACGCACCGUGGAUGUGGUGCGCCAUUACUAGUUUUGAAAAAAAAUUAAAAAAAAUCUUGUUACUAAUGGCGCACCGUGGAUGUGGUGCGCCAUUAGUAUUUGGACACUAAUGGCGCAUCAACACAUGGUGUGCCAUUAGUAUAUAGUAGUGGCACACCACAUGUCUGGUGCGCCAUUAGUGUCAAUUUCAUCUAUAGCUUUUUCCUAGUAGUGGAUAUGUUAACUUGCAAUCUAUCCAUUACACACAUAUGUAAUUUCAAGCUUGUUAACUAAUCGCUCUUAUGAAGCUAUCACUUGAGUAGAAUUAUGUGGCGUGAUACUUUAAAGAAAUGUGAACUCUUCUUUGUUCCCGUAACGAGUCUAAGUACAUGCUAGGCAGUAUGUCCCAUGGAUUCGCUCCAUUGUUAUUUUUAAUGACUGAUUCUAACAUGACCUUUCAUUCUAUUUUCAUUCCUCUUUUAUUUUUAGUGUCUAAUGAUAUACCAAUGUUUACCUAAUUGAAAUGCCAAGGAUUUUGCUUUAAAAUCUCCAAGUAUCGGUCUGCUUUGUCGAUUCAUUAUUAUCUAUGAUUGUAAUUUUUAAUUUGUAGCGGUCUUACACGCAACACAUUAUCUACUUGUAGUAUUUUACCAGUGAGGUUUUGAUUUUUUUUAUCAUUGGUAGAAAUUCUGUAAUGCUAGUAGAUUUGCUAAAUGGAGAUAGUAUUACUAUGCACUUCCUUCCUGCUUUUCACACUAUUGGAAUUGUAUCUUUCUUGCUGAUGUUGUUGCAUUUAUUUAGUGAUGUGCCUCCUAAAUGGAGAUCAUUUGCAGUGGCAUGGAAAAGGGGGUUCCCUCUUGGGCUGCCUAAAAAGCAUGUUGCUUGGGCAGACCUCUGCUCGGCCUUAGAUCCGUCUCCUCGAUGAGUACGCCGUGCCCAUGGUGAUUCUCAAAAGAAAGGAUUCCUUGAUGGACAGGACAUGUGAAUGCUUUAGAUUUCUGACUUUAGAGACGAGCGGCGGCAGGCGCGCCGCUUGCCUCAUCUUUGGUGAGACAGACUUGGCUAGGGCCUUCCACUACUCAUUGUCGUCGGAGAUGUCAACGAUCUCCGUGCCGGGCUCCGGGUAGAUGGUUACCUGCUGCAACGCUGGCUCCUCCUCCUCUAGAUUGGCGAACAUUUCGUUGAUCUCCAUCUGUCGCUGGCGGAGGAAGCAAUGGUUGGCCUCCACCUCCACCUCUGAUUGGAUGGAGUCAAGGAUGGCAUGUUGCUCCGCUUUGGACACCUCGAGCUCUGCCAGUGCCUCAGGCAUGCCGAAGCCCACAGCCUGAUCCGUCUCCUCCUCCUCCUCCAACUCUGCAUCUGUCGUGGCCGCGUCCACUUCCUCCACCUCCUCCUCCGGCUUCAGCGAGUCCGAAGUUAGGCCUGCGACGUUUUGAGCUUCGCACCUAGCUCGGAUCUGCUCAAGGAACUGUAGUCGGCGUUCCCGCGUGAGCAUAGCAUAGGUCGUGACCCGGCGACGGGGCAUGGCUAGUGGAAUGUGAAGGUGAACGACAAGGGGAAUGUGGCAGUGGCUAAUGGGAAGGGAGAGAAUGUGGACGGGGUAGGGUUUGAGUCCGGGCGUCUGGCUUAAAUAGCUGGACUAGAGCCCUCGGGCAGCGCGUUGGAGCUACGCCAUUGAGAAUCGGAGGAGACGCCGGCUGGACUGAUGGUUUUCGGAGUGUUUCUGCAUCGGCCCGAGCUGUCAAUCCGACGUUUAGGGCUGGUAUGAGGAGGCUGUCUUAGUCGGUUUUUUUUUUACCAGAUCAUCUGUCCAUGCGUUUGAGGCCAGUUUGAGACGCCAGGAUGUAGAUGCUCUAACAUAAAUGAUGUGAAAGCAAAACAGGUUAGCCCAAAAGGAAAAACUGCAUUCGCAUGCAGCUGCUCCUGGUGGAAAAAUUAAACGCCAGCCCUUGCCGCUGCCAUCCUCGAAACAACACAUUUUCCUUCUUCAUUGGAAUAUGACUUAUUAAAAUGAACGGUCAAGGUUGCAGCGUGACAGGAACACCAGAAUGCAAGCUAGCCCUAAAGUCUCAUGGGACCACAUAACCAAAGACUGUCUAUAGCAUCUCUAUCUAUUCCCAUAGCAUCAAAUUGUUUUGCACCGUCUGCGAAACAUCUAAAUUUGGGGUAUACAAUAGAUCAAGCGGCGCAGAUUACGACGCCGAUGGUUCUGGCUCUUUCCUCGUCCUCCCCUUGUUUACAACCUUUGUAGCCAGCACGGUAUUAGGCUCCUUGGUGUAGAUGAUACAGUCGUCGAGAGUGUAGAUCCAGUCCUCGAUCACCGCUACCGGAGGCCGCCGAACCCGCACGCCAAGGCGGCUGGGCAGGGGUGGUGGCGGAGGCUGGCGCAUAAGCAGAUCCAAGACGUGGACGUAUGAUUUGUGAAACCCACAUUCGCAAGCAUAGCAAAUAAUGGUGGCCCUCGAUAGCUCGGGGAGGGCGCAAGACACGCAUGGGUUCUUCCCCCACCCCACUACUCCCGGGUGCUAUAUUGACGGGGGCACCUCCACCGACGAACCAUGUUAGAGAGCGACGGGGGCCACCAUUAUUUGCAACAGGUGCAAUUACGAGCAUAGCGAUGGGGAGGGGGAAGGAGGAGAUUAGAGAUUGAGCAAGGUAAAGGAGAAGCUCA
rnacentral:lncRNA from 1 species